rfam:Firmicutes bacterium CAG:240 genomic scaffold, scf51
GGGGAUGAAAGGAUUUCGACGGGGAGGUUGAACUUCGGUAAGCGGGCAGCGGUGUGGGACCGCUAUAAAACCCAUACGUUUAAAUAAUAAACGACAACAAAACAGUUUUACAAGCUGCUUAAAUAGCAGCCGUCUUUGCCGGGAGUACUGCGGCCCGGUACAAGGCGUCGAUUAGCAGUGAACGUGCACGGGUGAGCGCUCCGUAACCCGUCAUGAACAACGGAACUACCGAACCGCUGAGCCUGCCUGACGGCGCUCCGGCGAGGGAAUCUUAAAAGACAGGCUACGCCCGUAGAAAGCUGUGGGGAGCCCUUUUCGGACGCGGUUUCGAUUACCGCCAUCUCCACCA